GUACCAAAAGGUCCAUACCAAAACAAGACGUAUUCGCCUCCAUUCCGAGUGAGGGUUGCUUCGGUACAAUCCCUGAAACACUUUAAACCGUGGAGUAUUUUAUAUACGGAGUACUUCAGUGACAAGAUGUCGCUGCCGCCGUCCGGUGCGCCUUCAUGUCAACAAGUGUUUUCUGCUGCGGCCUUGUCUGAGGGAGAACCAGCCAGAGGUAGACGCCGUUGUUCCGCCGGGACCGCUUGAUCCUUGAACAUCUCUAGCUCUCCUGGAUGCAUCGCUUCGCGGCGAAUCAUGGUUACGUCUGCUUGCAUGUAGGUUGAUUUCUAGUUUGUCCAUUAAAAUCGAUCAAAUCAAGCACACCUUUCAAAAAAUAAAAAUAAAAGGGACUGGCUAGGGCUCAGUCGGCUGAGAAAACCACAUUUAUCAGUCGACCGGCCUGGGUACGUGCAUGGGUGUGUAUGUCUUCUCGGUGUUUUGGAGUUUGAGAUCACAAUGAAAAGCGUUCGUCAUUAUAGUAACAUUAAUUCAGUCUGCACUUAUAUGGUUCUCAUGUGUAUUGCUACAAAUUUUAAAACAUGUAUAUUGUUACAAAUUUUUAAACGGUGCUAAAAACUUGAAGUGAAAAAUUACUGAUCCUGACGAAAACACACUUAACAGCACAACGAACGCCAUGGAG
rnacentral:lncRNA from 1 species